rnacentral:rRNA from 1 species
AGNNNACNUCCAACUGCGAAAGCAUUCGCAGAGGAUGUUUUCAUUGAUCUGGAGCGAAAGUCACAGGUUCGAAGACGAUCAGAUACCGUCCUACUUCUGACCAUAAACGAUGCCAACUGACGAUCCGUGGGUGUUUUAAUGACCCCACGGGCAGUCCCCGGGAAACUUAAGUCUUUGGGCUCCGGGGGAAGUAUGGUUGCAAAGCUGAAACUUAAAGGAAUUGACGGAAGGGCACCACCAGGAGUGGAGCCUGCGGCUUAAUUCGACUCAACACGGGAAAACUCACCCGGCCCGGACACUGUGAGGAUUGACAGAUUGAUAGCUCUUUCUUGAUUCGGUGGUUGGUGGUGCAUGGCCGUUCUUAGUUGGUGGAGCGAUUUGUCUGGUUAAUUCCGAUAACGAACGAGACUUUGGCCUGCUAAAUAGUUACCUGGUCCUCUUGCUUGUUUAGGCGUUUUACUGCCACUUGGGGUGUUCAGCCGCAUGUGGCCGUGUUAUAACAGGACAAUUGGGCCCCGGGAAGCCCCGG